rnacentral:rRNA from 1 species
CUACGGGACGCUCCAGUAGGGAAUUUUCGGCAAUGGGGGGAACCCUGACCGAGCAAUGCCGCGUGAACGAAGAAGGUCUUCGGAUUGUAAAGUUCUUUUAUUGGAGAAGAAAGGUAUAUAUAGGAAAUGAUAUAUAUUUGACGGUACCCAUUGAAUAAGCCCCGGCUAACUACGUGCCAGCAGCCGCGGUAAUACGUAGGGGGCGAGCGUUAUCCGGAAUUAUUGGGCGUAAAGAGUGCGUAGGCGGUUUGUUAAGUCACUUGUAAAAGAUAUCAGCCCAACUGAGUAGGGCGAGUGAAACUGGCAGACUUGAAUACGGUAGAGGUAAGUGGAAUUCCAUGUGUAGCGGUGGAAUGCGUAGAUAUAUGGAGGAACACCAAUGGCGAAGGCAACUUACUGGGCCGGAAUUGACGCUGAGGCACGAAAGCGUGGGGAGCAAACAGGAUUAGAUACCCCGGUAGUC